GGUGGAGUGCGACGGUGCGAUCAUAGCUCACUGCAGCCUCGGCCUUUUGGGCUCAAGCUAUCCACCCAACUCAGCCUCCUGAGUAGCUGCGACUACACUGCAGGUCCACAAGGAAAAUCGAGUGGCCACAGCUUUCUCUUGGUAUUGUGGGGAUAAAAACCUUCUUCUUCGCUAAUGCUUUCUCAUGGAGGGCUAAAUGUUGAUAUGAAUAUAGGUCAUGGUUGUAUCAGAGAUUGGCUCCUAGUAAAUUAAGUGAUGGUAUGAUGAUGGCCUUGAUUUAAAAAGGUGCUUUUGCUUGAUGUGGUGAAAGUUGGUAUGGGC
rnacentral:lncRNA from 10 species